UUUUUUAAAAAGCUUGCAAACAAAUAUAUAAAGACAUCAAACAUUUACAAAGAUUGUCAAUGAGUGAAUCAUUGAUUCAAUCCAGGUGAAAUAAAGUUUAAAAAAUUGUUGACAAAGGUUUAAAAUGAGUAAGCUGAGAUUAUAUACAAGGAUAAACAUAAAAACAGAGCAUAGGAAAUUAUUAAAUAAAAUAGGCAUAAGUGAUAAGAUAUACAGUAAAAAAAAAGCUAAUUAGAAAUUGGAAAUGAAAAGGUCAUUGAAAUAAAAAUAUAAUCAGUACACUAUUGUCUAGUACAGAAGAAGUCAAAGAAGCUUUUUAAUAUGAAAGUGCAGUUAAAAAGUACAGGCAACACAUGGAGAGGCUCCAACAUUUAUCUAGUGGCUG
rnacentral:lncRNA from 1 species